rnacentral:rRNA from 1 species
GACGAACGCUGGCGGCGGGCUUAACACAUGCAAGUCGAACGGAAAGGCACUGAUUUUGUGGGGUGAUCGAGUGGCGAACGGGUGAGUAACACGUGAGUAACGUGCCCUAGACUUUGGGAUAACUUCAGGAAACUGGGGCUAAUACCGGAUAGGAGCUCCUGCUGCAGGGUGGGGGUUGGAAAGUUUCGGCUGGGGAUGGAGGCGCGGCUUAUCAGCUUGUUGGUGGGGUAGUGGCUUACCAAGGCUUUGACGGGUAGCCGGCCUGAGAGGGUGACCGGCCACAUUGGGACUACGAUACGGCCCAGACUCCUACGGGAGGCAGCAGUGGGGAAUAUUGCACAAUGGGCGGAAGCCUGAUGCAGCAACGCCGCGUGCGGGAUGACGGCCUUCGGGUUGUAAACCGCUUUCGCCUGUGACGAAGCGUGAGUGACGGUAAUGGGUAAAGAAGCACCGGCUAACUACGUG